CGUCUCUUCUCUCGCUCGGGCUGACGCCCUCGUGGUAGCAUGUGGCGCCCUGCGCUUCUGGAACCUCUUCGGGUGGAGGCCCGGGUGAAAGUUCGCCUCUGGAAGAAGUCAGGACGGGAACUCAAGGCAGGAAUUUAAAGCAGAAACCGUGCAGGAACUGGCUUGCUUCCUCCGGCUUGCUCAGCUACCCUUCUUAUACAGCCCAGGCCCAUGACCCAGGGACGGCAUCACCCCCAGUGGGCUCGGCUCAUCAACAGGAAGGCUCCUCAUAAACACAUCCACAGGCCAACCUAAUGAAGACAAUUCCUCUGUUGAGAGUCCUCCUUCCCAGAUGACUCUGGGUUGUGUCAUAUUGACAACUGAAGCUAAAUAUGACACCAUCUAUGGCUAUGAAAAAGCAAGCAUGAAUUUAAAAGUAGAACAGCCAAGUAGGCUGACAUGGUGGUACAUGCUUAUAAUCCCAGCUACUUAGAAACUUAAAAAAGAGGGUCAUGAGUUCAAGGCCUUCUGGGGCUAACAGUGAGUUCAUGACAUCUGGGUAACUUAAUGAAAACCAACCUCAAAAUAAAAAGUGAAAAUAGAACCAUGGGGCGAAGGCUCAGAAAAAUGGCUCAGUCGGUAAAGAAUUUGCCAUGCAAGCACGGUGGCCUAAGUCAGAUCCCCAGAACUCAUUUAACAAAGAUGUGCAUAGUGACACUUGUAUUAUUGGAGCUAGAGAGAAGGAAACAGGAGAAUCCCUGAAGCUCACUGGCCAACCAGCCUAGCCUACUGAGUGAGCCGCAAGCCAAUAAAGAGACUCUGUCUCUACAAAACAAGAUAGACAGAACUCUUGAAGAACGGCACUGAAGUUGACCUCUGACCUUCAUGUACACAUACAUACAAGCACAUACAUGCAUGCACACACACAGCAAAGGGGGAGAAGAGAGAGGGAGGGGGGAGAGAAACAGAAAAAGAGAGAGCUGUAGGUGUACUUUUUACCUAUUUUAUUGGGUUCUUACAUUUACCAUCCUUCCAAACCUUAUUCCACCCUAAUCCCUUCCAACAAUCCCUACCAACCCUUCCAACCCUUCAACACUAGGUAGGAGAGAAGGUUAGAGGGGAAAAGGAAGUAGACCUCUUUAGACUGCUUCCUGUUGAUUAGGAAUGUUGAUUCAUUCCUGUUGAAUGCCUGGGGUAUAUCCAAUUCCUUAAGAAUAUCCAAUUUCUUCUACUUUUUUACAAACCACAAUAAACCACAGCAGCAGGGGGAGCAGCAGCCCCUCUUUGGAGAGCCUUCUGCCCCUCUUGGGGAUCUGGCAUUUAUAGGAGUUCCCAGAAUUCCAAACGUUACCCAUUUUCAGCUAACAAAUUUAUGCCCCUACAGUCAGCUACUGUAAACAAUCUGAAUCAGCCCCUUGCCCUACACCUGGGAUUAAAAUGAAAACGUACCCACAUAACAACUGGGUUUUUUAAGAAACCAAGUCUCACUACAGCAUUCAGUGGUAGAGCAUUUGCCUAACACAAAUGAGGCCAUAGGUUCAAUCCUCAACAAUGCAUAGUGGGGUGGGGGUGGAGAUGGGGGUGGAAACUAAGUGGUUUUUUUUUUGUUUGUUUGUUUGUUUGUUUUUGCUUUCUAUUGCUUUGAUAAAACACUGACUGAAAUUAACUUGGGGACAAAAUAGUUUGUUUGGCUUAUGUCUAUCACUGAGCAAAGCCAAGGCAGAAAUUCAAGUAAGGCAGAAACAUGGAAGCAGGAAGUAGAAGAAGGAAAGAGUGCCAUUUAUUGACUUGCUACCUGGGUUCUCUCAGCCUGCUUUCUUAUAUAAACCCAGGACCACUUGCCCAGGGUGGCACCAACUGAGACCCUCCCACAUCAACCACUGAUCUGGAAGCUCUACCCCCACAGACUUGCCUACAGGCCAAUCUGACCGAGGCCUUUCUCAGGAGGAGUGCUUCCUCCCAUCCAUGGCUAGGUGUGUCAAGUUGACAGAACUUCACCAGUGCACUAAGCUAAGUGGCUUAGAGUACAAUGUGUCUAGCACUAUUUCUAAGUCCCUAAAGUAGAUGUUACGAGGCCCAUGCGAUAAUAUGAAGAAGGUGAUAUUUUAGAACUAGAAAUAGAAUUUUGAAAGCCAUGUGACUUUUUACCCACUCUCUGAAGUUAUACAUUUGGACAAGUACUAACAUAGAGCAGGGAAACUAAGCUACCUUUAUUUGUUCAGCAAAGAAUCAUGUGUGCAUUUUACACUUAGAUUUCUGUUGACAUUGUAAAAACUCAAACAAAAGGAGCUGGGGAGAUGGCUCAGCGGUUAAGAGCACUGCUGUUCUUCCAGAGGACACGGUUCAAUUCCUAGCGCCCACAUGGUGGCUCACAACUGUCUGUGACUCCAGUUGUCUGAUGUUCCUGACCUCUUCAGGUACCAGGCAUGCAUGUGGUCCACAGACAUACCUCCAUGCAAAACACUAAGAAAUGGAAUAAAGUGCAGAGUGAAAGAAGAAAGGCACAGAAUGCUUCUAUGUGGUCCUGCUUCUGGAGUUCUGAAGAUGGAAACUCGGAGGAGGAUCCAGAAUAAGUAGACCCACUGUGAGGACUGAAGCGGAAGAGACUCCCAGGCCUCAGGAAGAAGGCAAUGUUAUUGAUGCUGAGCACAGUCGGCCUUUAUGACCAGGCUCUGUUCUCCAAAGUCAGCUACAGGGUACUUCCUUUGGAAGGAUCCAAUGAUGUCUGAGUUUAGGCUCCAGAACAUGGCUGGUCCCGUGGCAGUCCCUGUCCUCUGUUUUGAACAUAGGGACUAAAAGUGCAGAGUAAAGUGACUUUCCAAUGCCUCCGGGUAGUCUGGGAGGACUAGAAUAGGCUCCCACCUCCAUAAGUAGCUCUCUGCCUU